rnacentral:rRNA from 1 species
AUUGAACGCUGGCGGCAUGCCUUACACAUGCAAGUCGAACGGCAGCACGGGUGCUUGCACCUGGUGGCGAGUGGCGAACGGGUGAGUAAUACAUCGGAACAUGUCCUGUAGUGGGGGAUAGCCCGGCGAAAGCCGGAUUAAUACCGCAUACGAUCUACGGAUGAAAGCGGGGGACCUUCGGGCCUCGCGCUAUAGGGUUGGCCGAUGGCUGAUUAGCUAGUUGGUGGGGAAAGGCCUACCAAGGCGACGAUCAGUAGCUGGUCUGAGAGGACGACCAGCCACACUGGGACUGAGACACGGCCCAGACUCCUACGGGAGGCAGCAGUGGGGAAUUUUGGACAAUGGGCGAAAGCCUGAUCCAGCAAUGCCGCGUGUGUGAAGAAGGCCUUCGGGUUGUAAAGCACUUUUGUCCGGAAAGAAAUCCUUGGCCCUAAUACGGUCGGGGGAUGACGGUACCGGAAGAAUAAGCACCGGCUAACUACGUG